ACCCCAGGACCAGGACCUCAGCUGAAAGCAGACAUUUCACUGACCGAGCCACCCAGCUCACAAAAUGCCUGAAAGCUUAGCAGUUGGCCCUGCUGAGCGGCGUGAGCCGCCCCCACUCGGCGGCUUUGUCCUCCUCCUUCCAUGUAAACGACCUAGUCCUGUGACGUGGGGAUGCUCUGAAACUCGUUGGCAGCCAAGAAUUCCAGACCUGUGCGACACGAAGCCGACUGUCAAAGAUCCGUGGCCAGGAAGCUGGAGUGGGUAUCCGAGCCUCAGUCCUUGUGUACCCCCCGCCCCCACCCCAGAGUCCCAGGCAGUUCCUGUCGCCUGCAUCGGUCAGCUGGCCAGCAGGUGCUCCCUCAGGGCGUCGGGUUCUGGAAGUAGCUGUCCUCUGGUGGUCUUCCAACCCCAGCUCUGUCCUGGGGCAGGAGGGCCUGGUACCGAAGGCUCUUUUUUAGGUCUGAUGAGUUCCGGGGAGGAUGGAUGCUGUUUCAGCCUUGGGGGAUCCGGAGGGGCUGGACAGUGACGUAGGAGGUAAAGGGAGCUGCCUCACUGAGGACAUUGGAGUAAAAUCCGAAAGAAGGUGAGGGAAUGAGCUCUUGUGCUCUCUGGGCAAACCAUUCCGGGUAGACGGGAUGAUCCAUGCAAAGGCCCCAAGGCAGGUGUGUGCUCCCGAGGCUCCUGGGAAGGGCAAGGCCCCGGGCUGCUCCUGGAGGCACGGUCAGGGUGACAGUGUGAGGUGCUGGGGGCAUGUCUGAGUGCAAAGACAUCCGUCUCUACAGAGCAGUGUAGUUUGCUCUGCUGGGCACAACCCAUUAAGUAUUUGUGAAAUCAGUUUAAGGGGCUGCUGCCACCUUUUUAUGAGAGAACAGAAUGUAGAGAAAAUAGUACAGAAAAAGUAAAGUUAGGGUAAGUAUUAUUUAGUGAAAUACUUGUUUUGCUUUUGUGUCUUUGCUGUGACAAGUAGUUCUUACCGAGUAGAAUUAUGAAAAUAGAUGUUUGAAAGGCCCGGCCCUCAGACCUUGUAGGAACACUGGGUUUUCUACUGCAUGAGGAGGGAAGCUGAUGGCAGGAUUUGAGUCAGGGGACACGAGAAAACACCUGCCCUCUGUGUUGGGAGCAGACUGAAGAGGAUGGUGGUAGAAAUAGGAAGACCGGUUGGGAGGCUGUUGCCGCGGGUCCAGGGGAGAAUUAAGGCGAUGGAGUGACCGUCCGAGGACAGGGGAGGGCCUGCGGGUGCAGCAUCUGGAGAAAGACUGAACGAUGGGUGUUGGACAUCUGUGCGGCAGUGUAAGUCAGCAGUUUCUAGAAGUGCGUAUGUAGUAUUAACCUUACCCAAAGAGAGGUCUGGCCUUUGCCCCUAGCUGCUGGGAGGUGAUCUCGAGGCCCUUGGAGAGUGCCUUUGUUUACCUGGCGGCCUCGGCCACUGGACAGUCAACAGUGUAAUUCAUAAUGGGAGCUUUGGGCCACACAGGAUCUGCUCCUCCUCCGGGGGGCUGGGACGGCGGGUCAGUCAUGGGACAUCAGUGGUGGAGCUCCAGACCUGUGAGAAAGUACCUUUCGGUGUAAGCCACCCAGGCCGUGGGGUUUUGUUGGGGACACACAGUGUGAUAGAAAAAUGGGCAAGAGAUGCAAAGGAAAACCGUGCAUCUGCCACGAUGGGUAACAUUGAAAAAGACCAACAAUUUUAAUUAAAAAACCCAAAACUAGGAUAUGAAACAGGGAUUUUCAUCUAAAUUUGACUCAGUAUUAGGUGUGGGAGGGUCAUUUGGAUGUUCAUAACUACGGCUUUCAUUUUCGUUUUUGAUUUCAGAGCAGGGAGAAGUGGUACAACCACUUGGGGAAAGUUUAGGGUUUGACCCAGUGAUUUCUGACUCUAGGAAUGUAAACAUCCUCAUGUCCGCACAGGCGCCGAACCACGUGCAGGAGCGCUCGUGGCACUGUCAUCCCUGAGAAAGAAACAAAUGUCAGUCAGCAGUGGAACAGACGCCUAAGCUGGAGUAUAGUCACAAAAUGGAAGCUGAUAUGACACAAACGAGUCACACUUCUACACAGCAACACAGAUGAAUCUGCCAAACCUAAUUUUCUGUGUAAAGACACCAGGCACAAAAGACUGCUUGUAGUUUGAUUUCCAUUUAAUGUAAGAUCCCAAACCAGCUAAACUGAAUGACUGUCGGACAUCAGGAGGAGGGACAUUUAGGGAGGACGGAGGGUGGUUAUGUUUCCUGAUUCAAAAAGUUUAAAGAAGGUUGGGAUCUUCUAAGGACUCUGUUUUCCAUGAGAAGAGUUUUCAGCACCAGAAUGAACUUUAAAGCCUC